AUUACAGGUGUGAGUCACCGCGCCCGGCCAUAAUAUCAAGUUUUCAGCCGGAACCUCUCGUGUGUUCGGCAAACGUGAUAACCACUACACUACGGAAACCUCGUAUUAGCUUUUCUUUAAAAAACAGAAGGUGGAGCAAGGCUGAGUCCACACCCUGCAAGUCAGGAAGCAGCUGCAGCUGUGUGUGGGCUGCUGCCUCGCCCCAUGGGGCUCAUGCCUGCUGCGCCACGGCCGCCACUGCUCCCCACCGCGUUGCAGCCGGCGCUCCACCUGCUGUUCACCAGACCAGGGCUGGCAGCCCCUUCCCAGACCUGCCUCUCUGUGAUCUCACAUGGCUGUGACAGCUGCAGCUGUCUGUGGGCUGUACACCUGGGCAUGGUGGCGAGCUUCCGGGAUGGGGGUUGAUGAGCAACCCUCAGAUGACCCCACAAUGUGCCAGGCAUCGCCCUUACACACCUGUAAGGGCAUCACCUCAUUUCGUUCUCAUGACAGCUCUCCAGGGUGGCCGUCGUCACUGUCACAGAUAAGGAAACUCAGGCACUAAGAGGUAGGUGACUUACUCCAGGUCACAUAGGGACGAUGAGCGCUGCAGGUGUGUGCAGGUGUGCAUAGGUGUGCUCCAGUGUGUGCACGUAUGCCCAGGUAUGCGCAGAUGUGCCCAGGUGUGUGCAGGUGUGCUCAGGUGUGUGCCAAUGUGCGUAGGUGUGCUCAGAUGUGUUGAGGGCUAGGCACCAGGAGCCGAGGCCCUUCCACAUGCCUUACGCCAGGCUCCAGCGGCCCAGCUCCAGGGUGGGAGGUCUGCCAAGGCCUCAUGGCCACCUGCUCAGGAUGGGGGAGGGUACCUUCCCUUCCUUGGCCAUCUGCCCAGUCCUCUUGGGCUUGGGGACUGUGCUGGAGGGGCCAGGCAAGGGCGUGCCCACGCUGCCAUCUGGUGGCUGCCUCCCAGGAACUAGGAAAUUCCAGGUUCCUGUCCAGAGCCCACUGGCAGGCUCCUGACACCCGUGGCUCCCCCAGGACCAGAGGACGCAGGCUGCCGAGGGGCUGCAGCCCGUCAGGGUCCCUGCCUGAGCCCCGCCAUCAGGCCGGCAUCCCACAGGGACACCCCGGACUCUGCUGCCUUCCGCGGUUUCCUGUUGUGGGCAGGGCCACAGGGGCUGUUGGGGAAAUUCAAGGCCUGGGACCUCGGGAACUUCCAGCCUGGGGAGGGAGACGGGUGAUGGGCCAGGAGCAGGUUUCAGGAAAUGACCAGUGCCCUGGGAGAGGGAGAGUGGCCGCAGGUGGCUGCUUCCCACAGGCCCCAUGGAAAGGACGUCUGAGCUGAGGAUUCAUCAGCAUCAGGUCCUCCCAGCUGCUGACCUGACCCACCGCCACUGGGAUGCACACUCCACAAGGGCAGGGUUCUCCUGCGUCUUCUUUCUCCCCUGCAGCACCCCCAGGGCCUGGAGCAGUGUCUGACCCAUGGCGGAGUCUCAGCAAACAUUUGUUCAAGGAAUAAACUGUGGGAGUGGAGGGCAAAUCUGGGUGUGAGCUCGUGCCUGCGUUGCGGUGAGAAUGUGAGCAGGUGCCCCGAUCUGCCCCGGCAGAGGCCUCCCCCGCCCAGCAUGUUUCACCACAUCUCCUCCUCUGGCCAACCGAAUCCUCACGGAAAGGUGUGUCAAAGGGAUCAUCCCUCUGCCUGUGUCCCUGAGUGAGGACAAACAGCAGGUCCCUUGAGGACAUGUGAGAGCAGUUGCUUGAGUGAGAGAUACGCCUUCACCAUUGAAGGCACUGAGUCUGGGGACUGUUUGCUAGAGCAGCAGAACCAAACAGUCCUGACAGCACAGAAAGCAGCUCCGAGAAAUGAGGUGCUGCCACAGCCACAGGGCACCUGGAGCAUGUGUCCUGCUCACGUGGAGGACAGAGGGGAGGCGGGGCAGAGGCCGGAGCACACUCCGUGUGGAACACUCGGCAACUUGGAAGUUGGACCAUGAACCUGAUGAAACCGCAGCUCUAGGGAAAGGCUGGAAAAUCGCACGUCGCAGACACAGCAGUGAAAUGUUUUGAGGAGUCAGACCCAGACAGGAAUUGUCCAUCCUGCCAGCAGGCGUGAAAGUGAACAAGGAGAUUUCAAAAUAUUAUACUCCCAGAACGUUGGAAGAGCUGGCUGACUGUAGACCGUGAUUAUGAAAAUGCAGCUUCUGAGAAAAGUUUCAUGCAGGGCACGGUGUCACAGCCCUGGUUCCUCUCUUGUGGAUCGAGGCAUCUCACGGUGAAGGUGCAGCGGGGGUGCUUUUCACUGGGACAAAACAGCGCAGGGGAAAGCAACCAGCUAGAGAGAAGGGGAUGACGUCCCUGAAACUCAGCCGAGCCAUUGGCGUGGGCGGAAGGCUCUGCGGCCCUGGGAGGGUUGACGGCGGAGGAGCUGCAGGGGUGGCUGCUGCAUGUGGAGCUGGCUGAAGUCAGAGAUGAGAAAGCUCCUGGGGUCUUGAGAGAGUCACGAUGACAGGACGGCACCCAUUCAGUCUACAAGAGAAACGUGUGCAUUAAUGGAAACCACCACUAACCCCUGCGACCAGGAGGCGGGCGGCGAACACUGACCCACCCCGAGGAAGGCGUGUCCCGGGUACCCGUCUCAUACUGGCCGAGAAGGGUCAUGGAGGAAUCAGAAACCUCUUGGAGGGCAGAGCCAGGGACCUCGGAGGACGGCGGAAAAGGAGGUGACCUUCAGGAGGAACUGAAUCUGGACUGAGUGAAGGAGCGUGGACCAGCACCAGGGUGGGCGCUCCGGGGCCUUCCCAGGGGUUUCAGGUCCUCCGUGCACCAGCGACUGCUGCCAUCUCCCUUCUCUCUCUCCCCGCUGCUGGGGCUCGUCGUGUCCAUUCCCUGCCGUCCACUGUGUGCCGAGUGUGAGGGAGGCAGUGACCAACCUCUUCAGUCCGUGAGUCUCCAGUGAAGAGGUGUCUGGGGUCACCCAGACCCGAUAUGGCUGUGAUUUGGGGUCGUCUCACCUGGGGAGCCAUGAUGGGGAGUGAACACAGUCAAUUAGUCCAGAAGGCAGACGUGGAAGUCAGUGGUGCCGCCCACUAAUAUUUUGGUCUCCUUUUCCAGAUACAUUUAGGAUUAUGCUUUCCCUCUCUCUCCACAUUAGGCCCGGCCAUGUGACCUGCUUUGGCCAAUGAAAUUCUAGCCUUUAAACAUGAGUUCAUGAAGCUUCCUGCUUUGGGGAUUGUGGAUGUGUGUUGACACCUCGGUCCCUGUCCCCCAGUGAUGACAAACAGCAAAGGCCCCUGCCGGCCCACACUGGAUGCCUGUGUGAGAAAGAAGUGCAUCUGCGAAGUGCUCAGGUGCUGUGGUGUGGGGCUGUUUGUUACACAGCCCAGCCAAGACCAGCCUGACUGAUACACUCCCUCAAGCAUGAGUAGGGCUCUGCUUCUCCAGUGAGGGGAGUGGGACCCAGGGCUGUUUUUCAGCAAUGUCCAGAACACUUUACUCCUACGUCCCCCAGGAACAAUGACAAGAAACACCACGGGAGGCAUCUGUGGAGGAGCUGGUUGCGGCAGGGUGGGCACAACUCUGCCCUGCUGAGGAAGGGCUUGACAAUCCCCCAGGGCCCUGUCCCCGAGGGAGGGGCUGGUCUCCUUAGCAGUGUCCUGGAUCGGGGCUGGCGCAUGAGUAGAAGUGGGCCCAGCCCUCCCCACCCCAAGCUGGGAGAGGUGAGACCCCCCCACAGCCCACCAGGUGCCAGUGACUGACGGGCCCACCACUGUCUUCGCAGCCCCCACAGUUCUCUGGUAACCAUAGGCGUGGAACAUGUGCCAGGAACCUUUGGUUUGCGUGUACCUUUAGAUGCUUGGAUUAAAUUACACCCAUAAUACAUUA